UUCGCACCUCGUUAGGCGAGGCUCCUGGACGAACACAGGCCGCUGAUCCCACGACGUCGAGAGACGCCCAGGAUCAGGACAGAUCUCCCCGGCUUAAGGGGUGAUCCCAAGCGGCUUCCCCGCCCCGCGCGGAGAUACGUCGCCCAGUGCUGAAGCUCAACGUGCGAGGGCGCUG
rnacentral:sRNA from 2 species